rnacentral:rRNA from 1 species
UGGCGAACGGGUGAGUAACACGUGGGUGAUCUGCCCUGCACUCUGGGAUAAGCCUGGGAAACUGGGUCUAAUACCGGAUAGGACCAUGCUUUAGUGUGUGUGGUGGAAAGUUUUUUCGGUGUAGGAUGAGCCCGCGGCCUGUCAGCUUGUUGGUGGGGUAAUGGCCUACCAAGGCGGCGACGGGUAGCCGGACUGAGAGGUUGGUCGGCCACAUUGGGACUGAGAUACGGCCCAG